CUGCGAUGAUGACUCUCUUAGGACACCUUUGAGUUGAGCUGUGAAAAGAAAUGUAAGCUCUGAGCGGC
ensembl:snoRNA SNORD58 Small nucleolar RNA SNORD58